AUGCCAGGCAAGCUGUAGGCCUUCUGCUUGGUGCCCGGGGACUGCUGCUUUGGGCCUUGUGGAACAGCAACUUUGUUGCCCUUGUACCAGACCCAUAGGGGGCAUUGGGAAGAGCCAAGCAAGCAGGACCAGUAUGAGGUUUGGCUCUUGGUUUUCUCUGUAUGCUGCUCCUCAGGAAGGACCUGGUUUGUCUUCGUGUCCUUGGUCCCGAUGGGGCAGGAUGUCAGGCCAAACAAGCAGCGCCAGGUGGAGGUCUGGCUCUUGGUCUCCUCCACAGGCUGCUCCGCAGGAAGGACCUGGUUGUUCUUCGUGUCCUCGAU
ensembl:lncRNA